rnacentral:rRNA from 1 species
UACGUAGGGGGCUAGCGUUGUCCGGAAUCAUUGGGCGUAAAGCGCGUGUAGGCGGCCCGGUAAGUCCGCUGUGAAAGUCAGGGGCUCAACCCUCGGAAGCCGGUGGAUACUGUCGGGCUCGAGUACGGAAGAGGCGAGUGGAAUUCCUGGUGUAGCGGUGAAAUGCGCAGAUAUCAGGAGGAGCACCUAUUGCGAAGGCAGCUCGCUGGGACGUAACUGACGCUGAGACGCGAAAGCGUGGGGAGCAAACAGG